rnacentral:rRNA from 1 species
AUUGAACGCUGGCGGUAGGCCUAACACAUGCAAGUCGAGCGAUCUCUUCGGAGAUAGCGGCGGACGGGUGAGUAACGCGUGGGAACAUACCCAGAGGUACGGAACAACAGUUGGAAACGACUGCUAAUACCGUAUACGCCCUACGGGGAAGAAUUUCGCCUUUGGAUUGGCCCGCGUUGGAUUAGAUAGUUGGUGGGGUAAUGGCCUACCAAGUCGACGAUCCAUAGCUGGUUUGAGAGGAUGAUCAGCCACACUGGGACUGAGACACGGCCCAGACUCCUACGGGAGGCAGCAGUGGGGAAUCUUAGACAAUGGGGGAAACCCUGAUCUAGCCAUACCGCGUGAGUGAUGAAGGCCUUAGGGUCGUAAACGCUCUUUCGCCAGGGAUGAUAAUGACGAGUACCUGGUAAAGAAGUCCCGGGCUAACUCCGUGCCAGCCGCGGUAA